GAUUGAACGCUGGCGGAAUGCUUUACACAUGCAAGUCGAGCGGCAGCGCGGCCUUCGGGCUGGCGGCGAGCGGCGAACGGGUGAGUAAUGCAUCGGAACAUGCCCAGUCGUGGGGGAUAACACUUCGAAAGAAGUGCUAAUACCGCAUACGUCCUGAGGGGGAAAGCGGGGGAUCGCAAGACCUCGCGCGAUUGGAGUGGCCGAUGUCAGAUUAGCUAGUUGGUGGGGUAAAGGCCUACUAAGGCGACGAUCUGUAGCUGGUCUGAGAGGAUGAUCAGCCACACUGGGACUGAGACACGGCCCAGACUCCUACGGGAGGCAGCAGUGGGGAAUUUUGGACAAUGGGGGCAACCCUGAUCCAGCCAUUCCGCGUGAGUGAAGAAGGCCUUCGGGUUGUAAAGCUCUUUCGGCAGGAACGAAACGGUGGGCUCUAACAUAGUCCGCUAAUGACGGUACCUGAAGAAGAAGCACCGGCUAACUACGUG
rnacentral:rRNA from 1 species